GAGUUUGAUCAUGGCUCAGGAUGAACGCUGGCGGCGUGCUUAACACAUGCAAGUCGAACGAAGCAACUUAUUACGAUCCCUUCGGGGUGACGAUUUGUUGACUGAGUGGCGGACGGGUGAGUAACGCGUGGGUAACCUACCUUGUACAGGGGGAUAACAGUUGGAAACGACUGCUAAUACCGCAUAAGCGCACGGUAUCGCAUGAUACAGUGUGAAAAGUUUUUCGGUAUAAGAUGGACCCGCGUCUGAUUAGCUAGUUGGUGAGGUAACGGCCCACCAAGGCGACGAUCAGUAGCCGACCUGAGAGGGUGACCGGCCACAUUGGGACUGAGACACGGCCCAAACUCCUACGGGAGGCAGCAGUGGGGAAUAUUGCACAAUGGGCGAAAGCCUGAUGCAGCGACGCCGCGUGAGCGAAGAAGUAUUUCGGUAUGUAAAGCUCUAUCAGCAGGGAAGAUAAUGACGGUACCUGACUAAGAAGCACCGGCUAAAUACGUGCCAGCAGCCGCGGUAAUACGUAUGGUGCAAGCGUUAUCCGGAUUUACUGGGUGUAAAGGGAGCGUAGGCGGUUUUACAAGUCUGAUGUGAAAGCCCGGGGCUCAACUCCGGUAUUGCAUUGGAAACUGUAGAACUAGAGUGUCGGAGGGGUAAGUGGAAUUCCUAGUGUAGCGGUGAAAUGCGUAGAUAUUAGGAGGAACACCAGUGGCGAAAGGCGGCUUACUGGACGAUUACUGACGCUGAGGCUCGAAAGCGUGGGGAGCAACAGGAUUAGAUACCUGGUAGUCCACGCCGUAAACGAUGAAUACUAGGUGUUGGCUUCCAUAGGGAGUCGGUGCCGCAGCUAACGCAAUWAGUAUUCCACCUGGGGAAGUACGUUYCGMARGAUUGAACUCGAAGGAAUUGAYCGGGACCCGCACAAGCCGUKGAGCCAUGUGCUUAAUUUCGAAGCACGUCGAAAAACCUUACCAAAUCUUUGGMCUYCCWCUKGAMA
rnacentral:rRNA from 1 species